CUUCCGGCCUCCGUAGUUCCCGAAGUACGCGCCGCAAUGCCUGCUGGGGCUUGAAGUCCGCACCAACGAGACCCGGGAGCUCCACUCCAAACUUAAGAAUUCGAUGCUGGAGACGUGGGACUCAGAUACUGAAAAGAAUUGGGGCGUCAUUGGUCAGAUCUGGCUGCUUCCAGCUGUGCAGGGGCGGCGUAGGGCCUAGAAGGGGAAGUGGAGGAAUGUUCUGGGGGCCAGGUCUGGGGAUAUCAUGGCAACCAGAAAUAAAACCCAGUGGCUAUAGACUGCUACUUCCGUAGGGGUGAAGUCUAUGAAAGUUCCCUGAAACCACAAGUCGUCGAUGGCAUUGAACCAGUCCUGGAUGGAGGAAAUAGUUGGUAUCAGCCACUGGUCCUGUAACAGAGACUCUAGGAAAUAUUGGAAGCAUUGCCUUGACAUGGCGUCACCAGCACCUGAAGAAAAUCAGAGCAAACAAAAGCAGGAUGAAGAUAAAAAUUAAAGCAAAUGUCAGUU